rnacentral:rRNA from 1 species
AGAGUUUGAUCCUGGCUCAGGAUGAACGCUGGCGGCGUGCCUUAGGCAUGCAAGUCAAGGGGGUCAGCCGCAAGGUUGACAACCGGCAGACGGGUGAGUAACGCGUAGGAAUCUACCCUUCAAUGGAGAAUAGCUCAUCGAAAGAUGGGGUAAUUCUCCGUAGUCCCUUACGGGUAUAGAUCGUAACUGAUCGUUGAAGGAGGAGCCUGCGUCCUAUCAGCUAGUUGGUGGGGUAAUGGCCUACCAAGGCUAUGACGGGUAGCUGGACUGAGAGGUCGAUCAGCCACAACUGCACUGAGAUACGGGCAGUACACCUACGGGUGGCAGCAACCAGGAAUAUUGGGCAAUGGGCGAAAGCCUGACCCAGCGACGCCGCGUGGAGGAUGAAGGCCUUAGGGUCGUAAACUCCUUUUUUCCGACGUAACGUCGGAAGAAUAAGCCUCUACUAACUACGUGCCAGAAGUCUCGGUAAUACGUAGGAGGCAAGCGUUAUCCGGAUUCAUUGGGCGUAAAGUGUGCGUAGGCGGUUUGAUAAGUCUUAGCUUAAAUACUGUGGCUUACCCAUAGGAAAGGUUAGGAUACUAUCUUACUUAGAGGAUUGUUAGGGAUGCCGGAACAGCUAGUGUAGCAGUGAAAUGCGUUGAUAUUAGCUGGAACACCAAAGGCGAAGGCAGGCAUCUGGGAUAUUCCUGACGCUGAGGCACGAAAGCUAGGGUAGCGAAACAGAUUAGAUACCUGUGUAGUCCUAGCCGUAAACUAUGUCCGCUAGCUGUGGGAAGUCUGACUUUCCGCGGUGUAAGCUAACGCGUUAAGCGGACCGCCUGGGGAGUACGGCCGCAAGGCUAAAACUCAAAGGAAUUGACGGGGACCCGCACAACCGGUGGAGCGUGUGGUUUAAUUCGAGACAAAACGAAAAACCUCACCAAGGUUUGACAUGCUACCGUACAGUUUUCUGGAAACAGAGAGCAAUCCGUAAGGAUGGUAGCACAGGUGCUGCAUGGCUAUUUUAUAGAUGGCCGCUCUGAUGGUAACAUCAGAGAAAAAUAACCAACCCAAAACGGUGAAGCCCUAAUUGAUUAUCAGUAUGUCUUCAGAUAUGCUGAUGUCAAUGGGUAAUACCGUGGGAAGCAAGUUUUUCUUUAGAACUGCCGAAGACUUUUAUAUUUUAGGUCUUUGGCUGGCAGAUGGAUAUUGGCGUUCAAGUUCCAUUGGCUUAACUUCGGUUGAUCCAAAAUUGAUCGGUAAGUUUUCUCAAUUUUUCCAACGGGUGGCUCCAAGCCAUUCAAUUAAAGAGAGAAUUUAUGAGGUAGAUGGAAAAAGUAAACGUAGACAAAGAGCAUUCCAGAUGUAUAUUAAUAGUAGGUCUUUA